rnacentral:rRNA from 1 species
GAUGAACGCUGACAGAAUGCUUAACACAUGCAAGUCAUUGGCGAAGCUGCGUUUGCGCAGUCUAGCCAAGGCGGACGGGUGAGUAACGCGUAAGGAACUUGCCCUGCAGACAGGGAUAACAGACGGAAACGACUGAUAACACCUGGUAUUGUCAGGCUGGCGCAUGCCGGCCUGAUGAAAGGAGACGCUGCAGGAGAGCCUUGCGUCCUAUUAGCUAGUUGGUGGGGUAACGGCCCACCAAGGCGAUGAUAGGUAGCCGGCCUGAGAGGGUGAACGGCCACAAGGGGACUGAGAUACGGCCCUUACUCCUACGGGAGGCAGCAGUGGGGAAUAUUGGACAAUGGGGGCAACCCUGAUCCAGCAAUUCUGUGUGCACGAAGAAGGUUUUCGGAUUGUAAAGUGCUUUCAGCAGGGA